UGUCACAUGAACACUUCCAUUUUAUUUUCUGACUUUUGGUUCUGUCCACAUUGUUUGGAAGGAAACUCUUUUCCUUUGUUGGUUUUAGUGUUCACACAGAGUCUUGUCCUGUUUUACGUAGGAACAAGUCAGGUUCCGUGUAGGGAGUUGCAGGCUGAGUGUAACCCUUCACAAGGAACAUGCACGUUCUGAUUAUUUAAAUUCUGAGAUGUGGAUCCUGGCGCUGGGAGCUGCGUGAAUGCAAAGACUGAAACCAGGCUGUGGCAGCAUCCUUGUCUCAUCUCAGGCCUGGUGGAGGAGAGAGGCCGGAAUGGCAGCUUGCUGCCCAGAGGUCAGGGAGACACCUCAUUUGAAAAGUAAGGUGGAAGUCCAUGGUGGUGGAGCACCACAUAACCCAGGACUGGGAGCAGCCUGAUCUCUGUUGUUUCUGGUCUGUAGCCUGGGCUACAGAGAGAGUUCAAGCACAGCCACUUGUGGACAAAGAAACCCUGUCUCAAAAAUCAAACUAAAGUAUUAGGGUGUGAAAGCACUGGGUCUCUAUUCCUGGUCUACACACGAGCUCAAUCAGUGAGAAGAGACAGACAGACACGACCACUCACACAUACACCCCUGUGGGCAUGGAUGUGUCAGGCUAAUAUACACACAUACUCAUUAUGUACAGUUCUCCAAUCCUGCCUUACCUGUUCCUCAAUUCUGUCUAGACCCUAUAUCCAUCGUAUUUUAUUCUCAUUUUCAAAAUUCAAGACUCGUAAACCCCACAGUGACAGAUGUAUCAGGCUUUUCUUAUAGAAUUCCUUUUUCCCUUCUCUCUUCUUAUUUUGAAACAGGUUUCCUGUAUGCAGUACAGGCUGCCAAGAAUGGCGACCCUGCUACACCCAACUGAGUGUUGGGGCUACAGAUGACCUGACUUUCUACUGAGAGUCUUUUGAAGGACCACAAACAUGAGCGUAGCCUUUUCUUCUGAAGCUGGUGAGCUGUGACCUGGCUGGGAGGGAGGUAAAGGAAGCUGUCCCCAUCCCAUGCCAUAUCAAGGACACGCAGCUCCGUGGGGCAGAAUGGAAGGCAGAAGCCUCUCCAGUGCAUGUCCACAGCAGCAGCUGAUGAUAGUAGGAAGAUGAAGCCUCACAUUGCUUGAAGACUGCCUUUCCCAGGUAUAGAUGAAAACAGAGCAUCCAGAUGUGCCGUGAAUAUUUCGAGUGAUUCACAUCUGGAAUUGGCUGAGCAUGGAGUCAUCUCUUGUGCAGUGUACUGAGGAGCUGUUCAAGCUGGGCUGUCCUGAUUUUCCUGAACCGAUUUCAUAGACACACUGCUGCUCCUGGACAUGCCCUCCACAAUUGAGAUGACUGGGUUGUGAGUCAAGACUGUGAAAUCCAUACCUGGAGCAGACUGGCCUUUGUGUCACAGACAGUUGCCUGCUUCUGUCUCCCAAGUGCUGGGAUCAGAGGCGUGCACCACCACAAACACGACCACACUUGACUGCAGGUGCUUCAACCUUGCUGGACUUGAGAAAGCCUGUGUCCAAAACACAAGGUGUACAUAUCUCUUGGUUCUAGGAGGUUUCAGAAGCCAAGGGAGAUGACCUUGCAGUAGGAGAAAAGAAGACCACCUCCAUCAAUUCUACUAGCACCCCCAAAAUCAUUGAGUUAUGUUUCUUAAGUUGGA